GAUGAACGCUGGCGGCGUGCCUAAUACAUGCAAGUCGAGCGAACGGAUAAGGAGCUUGCUCCUUUGAAGUUAGCGGCGGACGGGUGAGUAACACGUGGGUAACCUACCUAUAAGACUGGAAUAACUUCGGGAAACCGGAGCUAAUGCCGGAUAACAUUUGGAACCGCAUGGUUCUAAAGUAAAAGAUGGCUUGGCUAUCACUUAUAGAUGGACCCGCGCCGUAUUAGCUAGUUGGUAAGGUAACGGCUUACCAAGGCAACGAUACGUAGCCGACCUGAGAGGGUGAUCGGCCACACUGGAACUGAGACACGGUCCAGACUCCUACGGGAGGCAGCAGUAGGGAAUCUUCCGCAAUGGACGAAAGUCUGACGGAGCAACGCCGCGUGAGUGAUGAAGGUUUUCGGAUCGUAAAACUCUGUUAUUAGGGAAGAACAAAUGUGUAAGUAACUGUGCACAUCUUGACGGUACCUAAUCAGAAAGCCACGGCUAACUACGUGCCAGCCGCCGCGGUAA
rnacentral:rRNA from 1 species